rnacentral:rRNA from 1 species
CCGAUGGAGGGGGAUAACUACUGGAAACGGUAGCUAAUACCGCAUAACGUCGCAAGACCAAAGAAGGGGGGACCUUAGGGCCUCUUGCCAUCGGAUGUGCCCAGAUGGGAUUAGCUAGUAGGUGGGGUAAAGGCUCACCUAGGCGACGAUCCCUAGCUGGUCUGAGAGGAUGACCAGCCACACUGGAACUGAGACACGGUCCAG